rnacentral:pre_miRNA from 14 species
GUCUUGCUGUUGAAAGACCCCCGGAGUGGGGAGACCCUCACUCAAGUCUCGGGAUGACACAACCCCCCAAGAACUCACACAAGACC